CGAGCUGCUACGGCAGCGAAGUGGGUGACGUCAAGCUUCCAAGAAAAGCCCUAUACCCGUUAAGGCAUGACGGCCUGUACCCGAAACCGACACAGGUGGGGUGGUAGAGAAUACCGAGGGGCGCGAGAUAACUCUCUCUAAGGAACUCGGCAAAAUGGCCCCGUAACUUCGGGAGAAGGGGUGCCACCGCAAGGUGGUCGCAGUGAAGAGGCCCAGGCGACUGUUUACCAAAAACACAGGUCUCCGCUAAGUCGCAAGACGAUGUAUGGGGGCUGACGCCUGCCCAGUGCCGGAAGGUUAAGGAAGCUGGUCAGCGCAAGCGAAGCUAGCGACUGAAGCCCCGGUGAACGGCGGCCGUAACUAUAACGGUCCUAAGGUAGCGAAAUUCCUUGUCGGGUAAGUUCCGACCCGCACGAAAGGCGUAACGAUCUGGGCGCUGUCUCGGAGAGAGGCUCGGCGAAAUAGAAUUGUCUGUGAAGAUGCGGACUACGUGCACCCGGACAGAAAGACCCUAUGAAGCUUUACUGUAGCUUGGUAUUGUGCCCGGGCUCUGAAUGCGCAGGAUAGGUGGGAGGCUUUGAUCCAUUGCUUGUGGGUAGUGGUGAGCCAACGGUGAGAUACCACUCUUUCAGAGCUAGGGUUCUAACCCUCACCCGUUAUCCGGGGAGGGGACAGUAUCAGGUGGGCAGUUUGACUGGGGCGGUCGCCUCCUAAAAGGUAACGGAGGCGCGCAAAGGUUUGCUCAGGCUGGUUGGAAAUCAGCCGACGAGUGUAAAAGCAGAAGCAAGCUUGACUGUGAGACCAACAAGUCGAUCAGGGACGAAAGUCGGCUUUAGUGAUCCGACGGUUCUGAGUGGAAGGGCCGUCGCUCAACGGAUAAAAGUUACUCUAGGAUAACAGGCUGAUCUCCCCCAAGAGUUCACAUCGACGGGGAGGUUUGGCACCUCGAUGUCGGCUCAUCGCAACCUGGGGCUGAAGUCGGUCCCAAGGGUUGGGCUGUUCGCCCAUUAAAGCGGUACGCGAGCUGGGUUCAGAACGUCGUGAGACAGUUCGGUCCAUAUCCGGUGCAUGCGUAAGAACAUUGACAGGAGUUCUCCCUGGUACGAGAGGACCGGGAGGAACGCACCUCUGGUGUACCAGUUAUCGUGCCAACGGUAAACGCUGGGUAGCCAUGUGCGGAGAGGAUAACCGCUGAAAGCAUCUAAGUGGGAAGCCCACCUGAAGAUGAGUGUUCUCAUGGCUUAAGCCAGUAAGGUCACGGGAAGAACACCCGUUGAUAGGCUCUACGUGGAAGCGCAGCAAUGCGUGAAGCGGAGGAGUACUAAUAGACCGAGGGCUUGACC
rnacentral:rRNA from 1 species